rnacentral:rRNA from 1 species
GAUGAACGCUGGCGGCGUGCCUAAUACAUGCAAGUCGAGCGAACAGACGAGGAGCUUGCUCCUCUGACGUUAGCGGCGGACGGGUGAGUAACACGUGGAUAACCUACCUAUAAGACUGGGAUAACUUCGGGAAACCGGAGCUAAUACCGGAUAAUAUAUUGAACCGCAUGGUUCAAUAGUGAAAGACGGUUUUGCUGUCACUUAUAGAUGGAUCCGCGCCGCAUUAGCUAGUUGGUAAGGUAACGGCUUACCAAGGCAACGAUGCGUAGCCGACCUGAGAGAGUGAUCGGCCACACUGGAACUGAGACACGGUCCAGACUACUAAGGGAGGCAGCAGUAGGGAAUCUUCCGCAAAGGGCGAAAGCCUGACGGAGCAACGCCGCGUGAGUGAUGAAGGUCUUCGGAUCGUAAAACUCUGUUAUUAGGGAAGAACAAAUGUGUAAGUAACUAUGCACGUCUUGACGGUACCUAAUCAGAAAGCCACGGCUAACUACGUG